rnacentral:rRNA from 2 species
GUAACUUGCCCAAGAGACUGGGAUAACACCUGGAAACAGAUGCUAAUACCGGAUAACAACACUAGACGCAUGUCUAGAGUUUGAAAGAUGGUUCUGCUAUCACUCUUGGAUGGACCUGCGGUGCAUUAGCUAGUUGGUAAGGUAACGGCUUACCAAGGCAAUGAUGCAUAGCCGAGUUGAGAGACUGAUCGGCCACAUUGGGACUGAGACACGGCCCAAACUCCUACGGGAGGCAGCAGUAGGGAAUCUUCCACAAUGGACGAAAGUCUGAUGGAGCAACGCCGCGUGAGUGAAGAAGGGUUUCGGCUCGUAAAGCUCUGUUGGUAGUGAAGAAAGAUAGAGGUAGUAACUGGCCUUGAUUUGACGGUAAUUCCCCAGAAAGUCACGGCUAACUACGUGCCAGCAGCCGCGGUAAUACGUAGGUGGCAAGCGUUGUCCGGAUUUAUUGGGCGUAAAGCGAGUGCAGGCGGUUCAAUAAGUCUGAUGUGAAAGCCUUCGGCUCAACCGGAGAAUUGCAUCAGAAACUGUUGAACUUGAGUGCAGAAGAGGAGAGUGGAACUCCAUGUGUAGCGGUGGAAUGCGUAGAUAUAUGGAAGAACACCAGUGGCGAAGGCGGCUCUCUGGUCUGCAACUGACGCUGAGGCUCGAAAGCAUGGGUAGCGAACAGGAUUAGAUACCCUGGUAGUCCAUGCCGUAAACGAUGAGUGCUAAGUGUUGGGAGGUUUCCGCCUCUCAGUGCUGCAGCUAACGCAUUAAGCACUCCGCCUGGGGAGUACGACCGCAAGGUUGAAACUCAAAGGAAUUGACGGGGGCCCGCACAAGCGGUGGAGCAUGUGGUUUAAUUCGAAGCAACGCGAAGAACCUUACCAGGUCUUGACAUCCAGUGCAAACCUAAGAGAUUAGGUGUUCCCUUCGGGGACGCUGAGACAGGUGGUGCAUGGCUGUCGUCAGCUCGUGUCGUGAGAUGUUGGGUUAAGUCCCGCAACGAGCGCAACCCUUGUCAUUAGUUGCCAUCAUUAAGUUGGGCACUCUAAUGAGACUGCCGGUGACAAACCGGAGGAAGGUGGGGAUGACGUCAAGUCAUCAUGCCCCUUAUGACCUGGGCUACACACGUGCUACAAUGGACGGUACAACGAGAAGCGAACCUGCGAAGGCAAGCGGAUCUCUUAAAGCCGUUCUCAGUUCGGACUGUAGGCUGCAACUCGCCUACACGAAGCUGGAAUCGCUAGUAAUCGCGGAACAGUACGCCGCGGUGAAU